rnacentral:rRNA from 1 species
UCGAGGAUAUUUAGCAAUGGGCGAAAGCCUGACUAUGCGACGCCGCGUGAGGGAUGAAGGUUUUCGGAUCGUAAACCUCUUUCGAUGGGGAAGAAACACCGGUUUUCCGGUACUGACGGUACCCAGAGAAGAAGCCACGGCCAACUCCGUGCCAGCAGCCGCGGUAAUACGGGGGUGGCAAGCGUUACUCGGAUUUAUUGGGUGUAAAGGGCAGGUAGGCGUUCCUUCAAGUUAGGAGUGAAAUCCUUUGGCUUAACCAAAGAACUGCUUCUAAAACUGGAGGAAUUGAGGCUGGAAGAGGAAAGCGGAAUUCCCGGUGUAAGGGUGAAAUCUGUAGAUAUCGGGAGGAACGCCAGUGGCGAAAGCGGCUUUCUGGUCUGGCCCUGACGCUGAUCUGCGA